AUUGAACGCUGGCGGCAUGCUUUACACAUGCAAGUCGAACGGUAACAGGCCGCAAGGUGCUGACGAGUGGCGAACGGGUGAGUAAUGCAUCGGAACGUGCCCAGUCGUGGGGGAUAACGCAGCGAAAGCUGCGCUAAUACCGCAUACGAUCUAUGGAUGAAAGCGGGGGACCGUAAGGCCUCGCGCGAUUGGAGCGGCCGAUGUCAGAUUAGGUAGUUGGUGGGGUAAAGGCUCACCAAGCCAACGAUCUGUAGCUGGUCUGAGAGGACGACAAGCCACACUGGGACUGAGACACGGCCCAGACUCAUACGGGAGGCAGCAGUGGGGAAUUUUGGACAAUGGGCGCAAGCCUGAUCCAGCAAUGCCGCGUGCAGGAAGAAGGCCUUCGGGUUGUAAACUGCUUUUGUACGGAACGAAAAGGCUCUGGAUAAUACCUGGGGCUCAUGACGGUACCGUAAGAAUAAGCACCGGCUAACUACGUGCCAGCAGCCGCCGAACAC
rnacentral:rRNA from 1 species